GCUGCCCUUUCCAACUGCCUGUUGGAAGUAGCUGUAAAAUGUCGUGAGGGGCGUUGCCGCUUUACGGUUGCCUCUCCCAGACGAGAGCCCGGGAGUGCCCACCGCCGUCAGCCCUGUCUCCUGGAGUCAGCCCGGCGGAGAGUACGAGGCCAGGCGCACCGCUGUCCUCCCCGCCGCGCCCUUCCGGCCCCCGGCGAUGUGACCUCGAGGAGGCUGCGGUGCCCCCCGGCCCGGGGUUGAGACGGGCGGCAGGUGCCUGCGAGGCGGGCGAGUGCUGGGGGCCAGCAGGAUGGAGGAAAGCAUGGAAGAGGAGGAGGGGGGCAGCUACGAGGCGAUGAUGGAUGACCAGAACCACAACAACUGGGAGACCGCUGUGGACGGCUUCCGGCAGCCCCCGCCACCCCCUUCGUCGAUCCCAGCCCCUGUCCGGGAGCCUCCGCGGGGGCAGCUGCUGGCGGUGCCAGCGGUCUCAGUGGACAGGAAAGGCCCCAAGGAAGGGCUCCCGUUGGGACCGCCGCCACCGCCGGAGUCCAAUGGGGUGAUCAUGAUGUUGAAGAGCUGCGACGCGGCGGCCGCCGUGGCCAAGGCGGUCCCCGCCCCCACCCCUAGCUCCACCAUCAACAUCAACACCUCCACCUCCAAGUUCUUAAUGAAUGUUAUAACUAUUGAAGAUUAUAAGAGCACAUACUGGCCAAAAUUGGAUGGUGCCAUAGAUCAGCUUUUAACCCAGAGUCCUGGUGACUAUAUCCCCAUAUCCUAUGAACAGAUAUACAGUUGUGUGUAUAAAUGUGUAUGCCAGCAGCACUCGGAACAGAUGUAUAGUGAUCUGAUUAAAAAGAUAACUAAUCACUUAGAGAGAGUCUCAAAGGAGCUGCAGGCCAGCCCUCCAGAUCUCUAUAUUGAAAGAUUUAAUAUAGCUCUUGGACAAUAUAUGGGAGCAUUGCAGAGCAUUGUGCCUCUUUUCAUAUAUAUGAAUAAGUUUUACAUCGAAACCAAGCUUAACAGAGACUUAAAAGAUGACCUUAUAAAGCUGUUUACGGAACAUGUUGCAGAAAAGCACAUUUACAGCCUAAUGCCUUUACUUUUAGAAGCCCAGUCAACACCAUUUCAGGUCACACCUUCAACUAUGGCAAAUAUUGUGAAAGGACUGUAUACUCUCAGACCAGAGUGGGUUCAGAUGGCUCCAACUCUAUUUUCUAAAUUUAUUCCGAACAUACUCCCUCCAGCGGUGGAAUCUGAACUUUCUGAGUAUGCUGCUCAAGAUCAGAAACUUCAAAGAGAACUUAUACAGAAUGGUUUCAUGAGAGGUGACCAGUCCCGGAAGAGAGCUGGGGAUGAGUUGGCUUAUAACAGCUCAUCAGCAUGUGCGAGUUCCAGAGGGUACAGAUAGUGAAUGUAUUGAAUGUACUUUCCUUCCUGAAAAAAAGGACACACUGGAGCUGCAGAGACUGUACUCGGAGCACAGCGGGGUCCUGCACUCAGGAGCUGUCACAAAGCUGUUCUUGGAAGAGGAUGUUGGACUUCUUACUUUGAUUUGUAAUUUUAAAAAACAAAAACUAACACACAAAACUGUCCAUUGCUGCUAGACUUGGGGAUGAUUUUGAAAUGGGACAAUCUAUCUGUAGAUUCUGUGAGGAACAGGCAUCUUGAACAGUGAUCGUUUUUAAGUGAAAUCCAGCAGCCCAAAUUAGCAGCUUUCUCCAAAAAAUGAUGAAAACCGAUUUGUGAGUAAGAUCGCAGAAGAACGGAUGCCCCAGGCCGCCCACACCGCACGUGCAUCCUGGCGCUGCAGCCCCGCAGAGCCACCAGUCCCCUUGCUACGCGCUUUCUGUUGGGUUGCAGAUUUGCACACAAAGAAUUCCUCAGGAAAAGUUUGCACAUGCGUCACCUCGCGAUAUUCUGUACUGACUGAACAGGGAUGUGAACGUCCUUCAGCGCACAGAGAACUUCGGAGCGGCCCUCUGUGCCCACGGGCUAGCGGAGGGCACGGCGACCUGGCAGACGUGCCUGCUUUCUGCAGGCGUGACGUGAGCGGGAGCACUGGCAUCGUCGCCUUCGAUCAGCCCGUUUCCUCCCCGAGAGGGGACCUUCCAGCCGAGUGGCGCAAGUACAUACCCUGUUUCUGCUUGUGUUGAUGGAGUGGCUGUGGGAGAACUAAGAGAGCGCUACUCAGAGGUACGUUCUCAGGAGAUCGGGUAUGUAUUGUGCCCCUACUGGGUGGAAAUGACCAUUUCUGGUUGGACUGGAUGGUUGAGAAAAAUGUUAGUGGCUUACAAUUCUGGGUGAAUUCUGUGGUUUGAAAAAAAAAAAAAAAUUUUGUAUUGAUUCCCACAUGUCAUUUUAAUGUUGUGACUAUGUACUAAAUUCAGUAAGACUAUGGAUAUUCUCUUAGAAGGGUGUGAUUUGUUAAACAGAUGGCAAUUUAAUUGCUCUCAUUAGGCCUGUUUGUCAGUACUACAGCCAUGCAAUUCAGGGGAAGUCGUUCGCACGUGCAGCUGUGGCUGGAAAUGGAGUGCCCAUGAAUAAAUGGAAGGUCGAGGCAGACGAGAGGCUUGGCCACCCACCCGCACGGCCAGAGCGAGGGUGAGACAAUGAAACCUAGUCUCUGGUGGUGCUUGUCGUUGGAAAGCACAGGAGAGCUUACGGCAAAGUGUUCUGGGCAUCAGCUCUUUUAUAAAUGUAAGAAAAACAAAAUGGUGGAUGAAACCCUUACUGACCGGGGAUUCAAAGCUACUGACUUCGGUUCUGACCUUUCACUUUGGUGGUUUUGAAUCAGUCCUUCUGUAAUAGGGUGUAAACUGUCACUCCAAAACAUUGUGGUUAAUAAAUCUUGUACAGAUGUCCUUGGCUUUGCUAUGUUGAUACCUGGUUCCCUGGAACUUUGUUAUACUAUGGAACAUAAUGAUUUGCAUACAGUACACUCAUAAUGAGCCCUAGGGGAGGGCCACCGGUGGCCCUUGUCUGUUCCACCAGGGCUCUUCAGCCUGCCGAGUGGGAGCCCAUCGCGACCUCUGUACAGUGGUGAAAAACAAUGUGUGUGUGCGUUUAACUACAGACAUAUACAGUAUGUAUACAUAUGUACAUAUAGAUGGAGUUUUUCUUUUUUAAACACUGGAUUCAUUGUGACUUUGAAUCAAAACUUCUGACUUGGGUUUUUUUUGGUUUUCUGUUUUUUGGGGGGUUUUUGCAUUGAUUAUACUGAGCUUUAAAAAAAAAAAAGGCCUUUGUGUUUUCUUGCUAUGAAAUUAGUUAUAUCCCCUAAUGUGUUGUGAAAUCUUACGAUUUUAGUUUCUCUCACUGUCUCUCUGCACAAGUGUCCUUUCCUAC